UACGGGGGGGGCGAAGCGUUGUUCGGAAUUAUUGGGCGUAAAGGGUUCGUAGGCGGUCGACUCAGUCAGACGUGAAAUCCCUCGGCUUAACCGGGGAACUGCGUCUGAUACUGGUUGGCUUGAGUGCAGGGAGAGGAAUGCGGAAUUCCAGGUGUAGCGGUGAAAUGCGUAGAUAUCUGGAGGAACACCGGUGGCGAAGGCGGCAUUCUGGACUGUAGCUGACGCUGAGGAACGAAAGCCAGGGGAGCAAACGGG
rnacentral:rRNA from 1 species